CUCACUUCACUGAACCACACCAGCCAGGGCAGAGCUAACUUGUUUCUAAAGCUAGAAUGCCAUGACCUGAAGUAUAUUCCUGAAGAGCCUCUCAUGGAAAGGAGAUGUCACCUCUCUACCAGACCCAAGGCUCCAGGGGAGCAAUUUGGAGACCGAGAUUGGGACGGGGUCUUCUGACUCCCGAGCUAAGAUGUCUGAAAUUGGUCUAUGGAGAUGCCUGAGGAAUUCUUUGGACACAUGCCCAGUAAGAGGAGAUCCUCACUGAAAGUGAACGGGAGAAAUAAUUCUACACUUGUGACUCAGAAAACAUCUUUGGGCACUGCUGAAGCCAGAAUUGAUUUAGAAUACAGGCCACCACUGCAGUUCACAAAUGGAAUGGAUGUUCAAUUUGGGGGCCUGAGAACCAUUAUUCAGCUCUGCUUAUUCUGGCAGCUGAAGAAGGAAAGAUCUGUCUACCAUGGUUUCCUCAUUGAAAGGGCUGCCUUUUAUCUCAGAAGCCCAGCAUCUUUGAAUAGAAAGAGAUCUGACCAUGGUCCUAGAGACCUUACCUUUUCCACAGUAUCUUUGUGGUCAAUCACCUUGACUGUUGCUCUUGCUCAACUUGACCCCCCACCAGCCUCCUCCCUGUGACUGGCCAACAAUGUACUCUGAUGGAGUACAGGUCUCUAGUAGUGUUCCUCAAACUAUGGUCCCUGGACCAGCAGCACUAGCGGCAUUUGGAAAGUUAUUACAAAUGCUUCUGCCUAGACAUUCAGAAUCAGGAAGUCUGGGACUGAAGGUUGAGCAGUCUUGAUUUUAAAAGCCCUCCAGCUGAUUCCCUUACAUGGCAAAGCUUGGGACCUCCUGUCUUGAGGAAUCCUCUUUUAUAUCUUCGUUCAUCCAUUCUACAAAUAUGCUGAAGGAUAAGGCUAGAGUAGUGUCAGAACAGACAAGGUCCUUAACCAGAAGGAACUUACAUUAAUGGGGGAGCCAGCAAUAAUCAAUAAACAAAAGAAUUAAAGCUGUUUGUAAGUGCGAUGAAGGAAAUAAGUAGAGUGGUGGGCAAAAUAAAUGAGGGGGGAUGAAUUAGGCCAGCAAGGGGUUCUCUGAGAUGGUGUCAUCUGAGCUGAGACCUGAAGAAUGAAAAGGAGUCAUCCUUUUAAGGAGCCAGAAGUAGACGAUUUAGACAACAGGGACUAUCAAAGACUUUGAGGAGAGGAAGAGCCUGGGGUGUCAGAGGACUGGAAGGAGGGGGGGGGGACAUCUACUGGGCUGUGGGCAAGGCAGGCAGCAG